GUGUUUGAAAUAUUUGUUAGUUUUUGAGUUGAAUGGAAAUGGCAGGGAGGGAAGGUAAGCGCGCUUUUAUUUGUAUCUCUUCGUCUUCCGAAGAAGAAGACGACGACGGAAAGGAAGACGGCGACUUUGGAGAAGAAGAAGAUGACGACGAUGAAGGCGGUGACGGUGACGACGGCGAUUAUGAUGAUGAGGACGACGAUGAAGACGGUGACGGUGAUGACGGCGAUUAUGAUGAUGAGGACGACGACGACGACGACGACGACGGCGAUGAGAAAAUUGAGGAGGGCGAUGACGAGGCUCUCUGCAACAGCGUAAUCCGCUCUCUCCAAGAAGGGAUUGAUUUGGUUUCUUUAAAUCUCAAAGAGUGCAAGGCGUAUUUGCGGAGGCACGGCCUCAGAAUCUCCGGAACCAAAGCGGUUUGUAUUCAGAGAAUUGAAGAGCAUUGGAGGUUGAAGGAUGGAAAUGGGGAAGCACUGUAUCCGAGAUCAUCCUUCGUAAUUAAUUGUACAGGUGAUGUCUGUAAGGGAGAUGUUGUGCUCUUCACCCAGAAAGUUUAUGAGAAGUUUGACAAAGUGACAAGGCAUGGAAGGGUUCUAGGGAAGAGAACUGUUGCUGGCAGGGUUGUUAAAGAAAGCUAUGGUGCAGCCAAACAGCAACAUACUUUUACGGUUGAAGUGAUAUGGAGCAGGGGAAUAAAGAAGCUGUGUCCACUAUUUCCUUUGCUUGUGAAGGGUCGUAAUCUCUACAAAUUGAGAACAUUUAGACAGCGUUGGAGUAAUGAAGCUGAAAGAUCAAAAGUGCUUGCUGAGAAGCACCGACGAGGUGAAGCAGCAAGGCAUGUUAGAGCGAUUAAAAAAUCAAGGAAAUGGACUGAAAAUGGAGGUGGGAAGCGUCGGAAACAAUCGCAUUCUACCAGACCAAAUCAAAUUAGAAAGAAUAAUGAAUCAGAAAAGGGGAAGCAUUUUGAUAGACUCCAAAGACGGACAUCCCGUGGAUCUACAAAGCAUAAUAGUUUCUCUCAACAUCAAGCAGCCCUACCAUCAAAACAGAUGAGGAGUAAAGCCUCUCAACCUUUUAGGAGGCAUCAGAAAUCAGCACGCCCAAAUAUUGAUAGAGUCCCCGCUCUUCAUUCUCAGUCUGUCCCUCGCAUUCCUCACCAAUCUCAACUGGAAUUUCAACACAGGAGUGCACCUUUCCAGUCUUUCGGUCAUGUCAUGGGCUCCACUUCAACCAUGUUGAGAUAUCCUGUGACAACUAAUUUUGAUACAUUUAUUGUACCUGACUCACAAUUUCAUAGGCUCAAUAACAGCAAUUGUAGCCACCAUGGUUACAUAGAUCCUGGACACAAUAUCCCGAAUCGGAAUCACUUAUCUGGCGUGAAUGUCGGCAGGCCAUUUCAGCCGUAUAUUUCAGGAGCUGAGACAUAUGGGGAAUGGAGGUACAGGGUUUGCUCUAGUCUACAAUAGGAUGUUAUUACUGAAGCUCUGUAUGCUGACUCCUUCUCCUCGGGUUACUACAGGACAGGGCACAGAUGAUUUAUGCACCUAUUACAUUCUCAACUGUUGGAAUUAGUUUCAACUCGCAGCGUUUCAUUCGCAGGCGACGACAGUGAGACGAGAGGAGGGUUUUGACUGUGAAGGCAUGCCCGGUGCAACCAUGAGAUGAGGUGCACGAAACUAAAGAUCACUAGAGUGGCGGUAUGUGGACUUUACAAGGUGGCGACUGUAUCAGUUUUCUUUCUUUUCUAUGGCAAUUGGUGAUGGGUGUAAGUUGAGAAUCGUAGCUUUGGUAUAAUUAAGCCUCGCAUUCCUGGUGGCUCCAAUAUAAAUGCCUGAUGCUUUCCAAAGGUAGUUAGGUCUCUUUCAACAACACCCCCCCCCCCCCCACCCCCCACCCCCCAACCACUCUCCCAAAGAGAACUUCAUAAGGGGAGCUGCCGUAUGUGGCAACCUCACAUAGGGGCGGGACCUUUGAAUGUUGACCGUGGGUAUGGAAUCCACAUGCAGGUCUCGCCCCUUGUGAGAGUUGCGUCAGGGAAUAAAUUGUUUUGUAACCAAUGCAACAUCUUAUUGGCAUACUUGUUCAAUAGAUAUUUGUUUUUUGUUCAAAAAGUGAAA